UUCACUUUCACCAAUUAAACGAUCCUUUCUGUUGCCCGUGAUGUUGGUGGGCCCGCGCUCAUUUGGGGCUUGCAUCUUACCAAUGGUUGUUCUAGCAGUCCGGUCUUGCACCUUGCAGCUUGUGGGAUCUUAGUUCCCUGAGCACAGAUUUCUACUUAGGCAGCUGGAAGAUCAUUGGAUUUCUCCAGCCGGGUGCACUUGAGCGCUGGAGGAGAAGAGACGAGCUCUGGCCUCAUCUCAGCGGUAGCAGUGUGUUCCCGAAGCUGAACAAGCUCAGGCCAGCUUCCGUCCACCCUCAGACACCAGCACCAGGGGUAGAACUAGGGGAAGAGGUGUCUCCCUGGGGCCUAGCACCCCAAGUCAAACAGUGGGAAGCCAGAACUAUGGCAGGUCUGCUGGAGCUGGAAUCACAGAAGAGUUGCAGCUGCUGGUGGUGGUGAUAUCAAAGCAGAGAAGAAGGGGGGAAAAUCAUCCCAGCUUCUCCCUUUCUCCUGCCCUCCAACCUGUUACUCACACAGAAGUCAGAAACUGUAAUUUACUUUUAACAGUUUACCUGUGACAUGGAACAGAGGAGGGGAAGGAGAGGAAAGGAUCUGACGAACACGUUCAGACAUGAUGCAAAUGGGAAGCCAUCUUUUCCUGCCGUCUGGAGAUGUGCAACUACUGUCAGAUUCCAGUGAACUUGGAAGUAGGGCUACCAGGAUCCGACAGUGGCAGACUCUAAGCAGGAGCACUAAAGGCCAGGUGGACAUGGUUACCAAACAGGCCCAGGAAUGGAAUUCAGGUGCAAGAUGAAUAAUAAACGCCCACGAAUAUCUACCUCUUUGCUUGUCCAUUGACAUCUCUUUUUCCCAAUACUUACACUUCAAAAGGAAGCUUCCAAUAAAGCUUCCAC
ensembl:lncRNA